AGUGGGAUAGCUGGGUCAAAUGGUGGUUCCAUUAUAAGUUUUCCAAGGAAUCUACAUACUGCUUACCAUAUUGGCUCCACCACUUUUGCAGUCCCACCAGCAAU
rnacentral:pre_miRNA from 1 species